UCGCCUGUUUAACAAAAACAUGUUCUUUUGUUUUUAUAAAAGAUUUAACCUGCUCUAUGAUGAAUUUAAAUGGCUGCAGUAUUUUGACUGUACAAAGGUAGCAUAAUCAUUUGUCUUUUAAUUGAAGGCUAGUAUGAAUGGUUGGACGAAAAAUAUACUUUCUUUAUUUUAUAUAAAUAAAUUAAUUUUUUAGUUAAAAAGCUAAGAUUUUUUUAUAGGACGAGAAGACCCUAUAGAACUUUAUUUUCUACAUAUAUAUAUUUUAUAGAUUUUUAAAAUACUAUAUAUUAAUAGUUAAUUUAAUUGGGGUGAUUGAAAAAAUUAUAUAACUUUUUCUAUUUUUAUCAUUUAUUUAUGAUGUUUUUGAUCCUUUAAUAUGGAAAAUAAGAUUAAGUUACCUUA
rnacentral:rRNA from 1 species